GAUGAACGCUGGCGGCGUGCCUAAUACAUGCCAGUAGAACGCUGAAGGAGGAGCUUGCUCUUCUGGAUGAGUUGUGAACGGGUGAGUAACGCGUAGGUAACCUGCCUGGUAGCGGGGGAUAACUAUUGGAAACGAUAGCUAAUACCGCAUGACAACAGUUAUUGCAUGAUAACUGUUUAAAAGGGGCAACUGCUCCACUACCAGAUGGACCUGCGUUGUAUUAGCUAGUUGGUGAGGUAACGGCUCACCAAGGCGACGAUACAUAGCCGACCUGAGAGGGUGAUCGGCCACACUGGGACUGAGACACGGCCCAGACUCCUACGGGAGGCAGCAGUAGGGAAUCUUCGGCAAUGGACGGAAGUCUGACCGAGCAACGCCGCGUGAGUGAAGAAGGGUUUCGGAUCGUAAAGCUCUGUUGUAAGAGAAGAACGAGUGUGAGAGUGGAAAGUUCACACUGUGACGGUAUCUUACCAGAAAGGGACGGCUAACUACGUG
rnacentral:rRNA from 1 species